GCGCCGGUGGUGUCCCGGAAAGCAGAAGAUGCGGGUUCGAGUCCCGCCUGGCGCA
rnacentral:tRNA from 1 species